AGUAAUAGUUAUGUUCUUGAAACUUAAAAAAUUUGGCGGUAUUUUAGUCUAUUCAGAGGAACCUGUCCUGUAAUUGAUAAUCCACGUUGGACCUUACUUAAGUUAGUAAUUCAGUUUGUAUACCGUCGUUAUAAGAAUAUUUUAUUAGAAUAAUAAUUUUCUAGAAUUUUUAUAAAAAUUUAUAUCAGAUCAAGGUGCAGCUUAUAUUUAAGAAGAGAUGGGUUACAAUAAAUUUAUUUAUAUGAAUUAAUUUUUGAAAAAGAAUUAUGAAGGUGGAUUUGAAUGUAAAAUUAUAAAGAUUAAUAAUUUGAUUUUAGCUCUAAAAUAUGUACAUAUCGCCCGUCACUCUUAUUAUUAAGGUAAGAUAAGUCGUAACAUAGUAGAUGUACUGGAAAGUGUAUCUAGAAUGCAAUUUAAAGCUUAAAUAGGAAAGCAUUUCAUUUACAUUGAAAAGAUUUUUGUGCAAAUCAAUAUAAAUUGAGUAGAUUUUAUUUAUUAAUAUAUUUAAUUUUUUAUAUUUUAUAUUAGAAAUAACUGUAAAUAAAAUGUUUUAGUAUUUUAUAAAGAAUAAAUAAUUUUUAUAAUAGUUUAUUAGUAUUGUGAAAGAAAAUUGAAAUAAUUUGAAAAA
rnacentral:rRNA from 1 species